rnacentral:rRNA from 1 species
AACGAACGCUGGCGGCAGGCUUAACACAUGCAAGUCGAGCGCAUCCUUCGGGGUGAGCGGCGGACGGGUGAGUAACGCGUGGGAACGUGCCCUCUUCUACGGAAUAGCCUCGGGAAACUGAGAGUAAUGCCGUAUACGCCCGCAAGGGGAAAGAUUUAUCGGAGGAGGAUCGGCCCGCGUUGGAUUAGGUAGUUGGUGUGGUAACGGCCUACCAAGCCGACGAUCCAUAGCUGGUUUGAGAGGAUGAUCAGCCACACUGGGACUGAGACACGGCCCAGACUCCUACGGGAGGCAGCAGUGGGGAAUCUUGGACAAUGGGGGCAACCCUGAUCCAGCCAUGCCGCGUGAUCGAUGAAGGCCUUAGGGUUGUAAAGAUCUUUCAGCUGGGAAGAUAAUGACGGUACCAGCAGAAGAAGCCCCGGCUAACUCCGUG